rnacentral:rRNA from 1 species
AGGGUUCGAUUAUGGCUCAGAUUGAACGCUGGCGGCAGGCCUAACACAUGCAAGUCGAGCGCGAAAACACUUCGGUGUGAGUAGAGCGGCGGACGGGUGAGUAAUGCUUGGGAAUCUGCCCAGUAGUGGGGGAUAACGUGUGGAAACGCACGCUAAUACCGCAUACGUCCUACGGGAGAAAGCAGGGGAUCUUCGGACCUUGCGCUAUUGGAUGAGCCCAAGUCAGAUUAGCUAGUUGGUGAGGUAAUGGCUCACCAAGGCGACGAUCUGUAGCUGGUCUGAGAGGAUGAUCAGCCACACUGGGACUGAGACACGGCCCAGACUCCUACGGGAGGCAGCAGUGGGGAAUAUUGCACAAUGGGCGAAAGCCUGAUGCAGCCAUGCCGCGUGUGUGAAGAAGGCUCUAGGGUUGUAAAGCACUUUCAGUGGGGAGGAAAAGUUUAAGAUUAAUACUCUUGAACCUUGACGUUACCUGCAGAAGAAGCACCGGCAAACUCCGUGCCAGCCGCCGCGGUA